GAUGAACGCUGGCGGCGUGCCUAAUACAUGCAAGUCGAACGAUGAAGCCGGAGCUUGCUCUGGUGAAUUAGUGGCGAACGGGUGAGUAACAUGUGAGUAACCUGCCCUUGACUCUGGGAUAACUGCUAGAAAUGGUAGCUAAUACCGGAUACGACCCUCGGAGGCAUCUUCAGGGGGUGGAAAGAAUUUCGGUCAAGGAUGGACUCGCGGCCUAUCAGCUAGUUGGUGAGGUAAUGGCUCACCAAGGCGACGACGGGUAGACGGCCUGAGAGGGUGACCGGCCACACUGGGACUGAGACACGGCCCAGACUCCUACGGGAGGCAGCAGUGGGGAAUAUUGCACAAUGGGCGCAAGCCUGAUGCAGCAACGCCGCGUGAGGGAUGACGGCCUUCGGGUUGUAAACCUCUUUUAGUAGGGAAGAAGCGAAAGUGACGGUACCUGCAGAAAAAGCACCGGCUAACUACGUGCCAGCCGCCGCCGUAA
rnacentral:rRNA from 1 species